rnacentral:rRNA from 1 species
AGGGCUCGCAGGCGGUUUUCUUAAGUCUGAUGUGAAAGCCCCCGGCUCAACCGGGGAGGGUCAUUGGAAACUGGGGAACUUGAGUGCAGAAGAGGAGAGUGGAAUUCCACGUGUAGCGGUGAAAUGCGUAGAGAUGUGGAGGAACACCAGUGGCGAAGGCGACUCUCUGGUCUGUAACUGACGCUGAGGAGCGAAAGCGUGGGGAGCGAACAGGAUUAGAUACCCUGGUAGUCCACGCCGUAAACGAUGAGUGCUAAGUGUUAGGGGGUUUCCGCCCCUUAGUGCUGCAGCUAACGCAUUAAGCACUCCGCCUGGGGAGUACGGUCGCAAGACUGAAACUCAAAGGAAUUGACGGGGGCCCGCACAAGCGGUGGAGCAUGUGGUUUAAUUCGAAGCAACGCGAAGAACCUUACCAGGUCUUGACAUCCUCUGACGAUCCUAGAGAUAGGACGUCCCCUUCGGGGGCAGAGUGACAGGUGGUGCAUGGUUGUCGUCAGCUCGUGUCGUGAGAUGUUGGGUUAAGUCCCGCAACGAGCGCAACCCUUGAUCUUAGUUGCCAGCAUUCAGUUGGGCACUCUAAGGUGACUGCCGGUGACAAACCGGAGGAAGGUGGGGAUGACGUCAAAUCAUCAUGCCCCUUAUGACCUGAGCUACACACGUGCUACAAUGGACAGAACAAAGGGCAGCGAAACCGCGAGGUUAAGCCAAUCCCACAAAUCUGUUCUCAGUUCGGAUCGCAGUCUGCAACUCGACUGCGUGAAGCUGGAAUCGCUAGUAAUCGC